rnacentral:miRNA from 1 species
UAAAGCCAUUCCUCAAUUCUA